UUGAAAUUGACCCUGAAGGUAAGAGUGUAAAUUUUAUUAGGAUGCUCUAAAAUAUAAUAAUUUUAUUUUUAAUUAUUAAAUGCUCUGGCGGUGUUUUAUUUUCAUUUAACCUUUAGAAAAAGUUGAUCUGGGAAAUUCAGAUAGCUCAAGCGAUGAGAGUGAGCCUCUUCAAUCAGCUCUGGAGGCAAUAAAAACACCAGAGAAUGAGACAACGGAUCAGGGUGGAGACAGAGGGCCAUGGACUUCAUCUCCAGGGACUUCUUCAUCUCCAAGGACUUCUUUCAGUCCUCCUUUGAAAAAGGGCAACCGAGUUAACGCCAAAUGUAAGUGGGAAGAUCAUGAGGUACGUGCAGUUGAAAGACACAUGAUGCGUUUCAUCAACACAUGCAAGGUGCCUCAGAAGCUGGACUGCACUCAAUGCAUCAAUGCAGAACCCUAUGCACUGAAAGACAGAAACUGGACUGGAGUGAAAAAUUAUGUUAGAAAUCGCAUUACUGCCUUAAAAAGAAAAGCUUGUGCAAAGGACUGAGGGCUGUCUGUUUGAUUUCAGUGAGUUAAAAUUUCCUGUUUCUCUGGUAAAAUGGUUCUGAAGAGGUUUUGAAGACGUUGCACUCCAAAAAUUUCAGGUUCAGUAAGCAGGUGUAAUUUUGUUACCUAAGACCUUUUCUCAUUCUGAGAGGAAAAAACAAAUCUUUUCAAGUUGACAUUUUUUUCUUAACAUGGUUUUCAUUGUGUCCACUUCACACUGUAUGAAAUGUAUUUGGAAUCAAAGUUUUUUACAUUUGCAGGUAGAAGCACUUAAUGAAUUGUGCAGAUAUUUUGUUGUUUCUUUGUUGCUGCAAGUUCCUGUGUAUACAUGAAGUGCAUGUAAAUUGCUAAAAACAACACGGUAGGAAUAAAAGAAGCAGAAUAUUUAAAUGUUUCUGUGGCACAAUUAGUUGUGAUUUCUUUCAUAAUAAGUACGGUAAUGACCUGACUUUGAAGUUCCGGCAAAUCCAUUGGAUUCUGUCAAGUUAGCAGACCUAAUUGCAAUGAAUAUUGUUAGGUUGGGUAGAAAAAGGCUUUUAACAUUGACACUGAGCAGCAGCAGCAUACGAAAACAUU
rnacentral:lncRNA from 1 species